ensembl:lncRNA
CCUGACUAGGCAGGGCCACUCAGGUGCUGGUGCUUUCUUUGGUUGGGAGUGGCUGGGAGAACCUGCUCUUGUCUUUACAAGCCGCUUCCAAAUCCUACUCAGCUCUCCCCAGAGGAGCCUGUCAGUAUGUGUCAGUUGUGUCCUGACACACAUCAAAGGUAUUUUGGAAUGAAAUCCAGAAGUGUUGAAGUUGUAACAACCCCUUAGAAGCCUGGCAAGCAAACUUAGAGCACCAGCUUGUAUUUAUAGCCACUGUCAUCUCCGCCAAAGAGUAACCUAUUUUAGCUAUCAGAAGUGUAUUUUCUCUAAAUGGGUCAGAGUUCUGCAGUCCCAUGACUUCUUAC